rnacentral:rRNA from 1 species
UGGGGAAUCUUGCGCAAUGGGCGAAAGCCUGACGCAGCGACGCCGCGUGAGGGAAGAAGGCCUUCGGGUUGUAAACCUCUUUCAGGAGGGACGAAGCCACUCGGGUUAAUACCCCAGAGGGUGACGGUACCUCCAGAAGAAGCCCCGGCUAACUACGUGCCAGCGGCCGCGGUAAUACGUAGGGGGCAAGCGUUGUCCGGAUUUAUUGGGCGUAAAGCGCGUGUAGGCGGCCACGCAGGUCCGCUGUGAAAACUCGAGGCUCAACCUCGAGAUGUCGGUGGAAACCGCGUGGCUAGAGUCCGGAAGAGGAGAGUGGAAUUCCCGGUGUAGCGGUGAAAUGCGCAGAUAUCGGGAAGAACACCCAUGGCGAAGGCAGCUCUCUGGGACGGUACUGACGCUGAGACGCGAAAGCGUGGGGAGCGAACAGGAUUAGAUACCCUGGUAGUCCACGCCGUAAACGAUGGAUGCUAGGUGUGGGCGGUGUCGACUCCGUCCGUGCCGAAGCUAACGCAUUAAGCAUCCCGCCUGGGGAGUACGGCCGCAAGGCUAA